AGCGAACGCUGGCGGCAGGCCUAACACAUGCAAGUCGAACGAACUCUUCGGAGUUAGUGGCGGACGGGUGAGUAACACGUGGGAACGUGCCUUUUGGUUCGGAAUAACUCAGGGACACUUGUGCUAAUACCGAAUGUGCCCUUCGGGGGAAAGAUUUAUCGCCAUUGGAGCGGCCCGCGUCUGAUUAGCUAGUUGGUGAGGUAACGGCUCACCAAGGCGACGAUCAGUAGCUGGUCUGUGAGGCAGACCAGCCACACUGGGACUGAGACACGGCCCAGACUCCUACGGGAGGCAGCAGUGGGGAAUCUUGCGCAAUGGGCGAAAGCCUGACGCAGCCAUGCCGCGUGAAUGAUGAAGGUCUUAGGAUUGUAAAAUUCUUUCACCUGUGACGAUAAUGACGGUACCCGGAGAAGAAGCCCCGGCUAACUUCGUG
rnacentral:rRNA from 1 species